GACGAACGCUGGCGGCGUGCCUAAUACAUGCAAGUAGAACGCUGAAGAGAGGAGCUUGCUCUUCUUGGAUGAGUUGCGAACGGGUGAGUAACGCGUAGGUAACCUGCCUUGUAGCGGGGGAUAACUAUUGGAAACGAUAGCUAAUACCGCAUAACAAUGGAUGACACAUGUCAUUUAUUUGAAAGGGGCACUUGCUCCACUACAAGAUGGACCUGCGUUGUAUUAGCUAGUAGGUGAGGUAAUGGCUCACCUAGGCGACGAUACAUAGCCGACCUGAGAGGGUGAUCGGCCGCACUGGGACUGAGACACGGCCCAGACUCCUACGGGAGGCAGCAGUAGGGAAUCUUCGGCAAUGGGGGCAACCCUGACCGAGCAACGCCGCGUGAGUGAAGAAGGUUUUCGGAUCGUAAAGCUCUGUUGUAAGUCAAGAACGGGUGUGAGAGUGGAAAGUUCACACUGUGACGGUAGCUUACCAGAAAGGGACGGCUAACUACGUG
rnacentral:rRNA from 1 species